GAGCUUCGGCAGCACAUAUACUAAAAUUGGAAUGAUACAGAGAAGAUUAGCAUGGCCCCUGUGCAAGGAUGACACCAAAUGCGUGAAGCAUUCCAUAUUUUU
rnacentral:snRNA from 1 species